ACUCCUACGGGAGGCAGCAGUGGGGAAUAUUGCACAAUGGGGGAAACCCUGAUGCAGCCAUGCCGCGUGUGUGAAGAAGGCCUUGGGUUGUAAAGCACUUUCAGUAGGGAGGAAGGUAGUGUAGUUAACACCUGCAUUAUUUGACGUUACCUACAGAAGAAGCACCGGCUAACUCCGUGCCAGCAGCCGCGGUAAUACGGAGGGUGCGAGCGUUAAUCGGAAUUACUGGGCGUAAAGCGCAUGCAGGCGGCCUGUUAAGUCAGAUGUGAAAGCCCGGGGCUUAACCUCGGAAUUGCAUUUGAAACUGGCAGGCUAGAGUCUUGUAGAGGGGUUAGGAAUUUCAGGUGUAGCGGUGAAAUGCGUAGAGAUCUGAAGGAAUACCAGUGGCGAAGGCGGCCCCUGGACAAAGACUGACGCUCAGAUGCGAAAGCGUGGGAGCAAACAGGAUUAGAUACCCCGUGGUAGACUGUCA
rnacentral:rRNA from 1 species